CCCCCCACGCACGCAGCCAGCUCCAGCUCCAGCUCCGCUGCAUCCCUGCGUGCGUGGAUCCUGCGCACCGGCAAAGGCAUGGCAGAGGGUGGAAGAGCACAGACCCCAGCUUGGCCCCACUUGGGGGGUGCCCCCUGAGCCCCCCAGGCUGUGACUGCAGCAGAAACUCCCCGAGCCCCGCUCAGAGCCCCUCAACGCGUUGUUAAGGCGCCGGAGGGCGGGAGCUGCGGAGCAGGGGGAAGGACGGGAACCGAGAAUUCGCUCUCUGUAAAUGUCACGGGGUUUUUUUAAGCUCAUUUUGCACUUUGGGUUUGGCGAAGCUGAGAAGAUUUAAGUGACAAACCAGAUGUCCCCAAGCAGACACCCCCCCACCGCCUCCACCCCCCGGCGAAGCUCAGCCCCUGCACCCCUCAAACCCACCCCCUGCUCAGCCCCUGCACCCUCCAAACCCACCCCGUGAUCCCCAAACCCUCCUGCUCAGCCCCCAAAAUCGGGGGGUGGGUGAGAGAUGCAGCUGCGGAGGUGCCGGGGAUGAUGGGGAUGGACGUAUGGAAGGGCUGUUGCAAUGCUGUGUCCAUCGGGGACGCUGCAAGGCAAAGCGCAGCACUGUGAGGGUGCUGCUGGGUGCCUGGGGGUCCCGCAGCCCUCUCUGCCCACCCCUGCGGGCAGUGGGACCCUUUGCACCCACCCAGCAAGGUUAAGCCCAGUAGACAGGGACGAUGCUGCAGAGGAUGCUGGUGGUGGUGCCCAGGAGGGAGCGGUCGGCCAGGGGCAUGGCGAGUCUCUUCUCGUCCUGGAGAGGGCAGAGAAGGAAGGAUGAGGCAGCAGCAGCACGAUGCUGCACCGGGGGGUGUUGCACAACGCAUCAUGCCCAGGGCAUGGCCAUGUGCCCCCCCUUGUCCCAGCAGGGCCACCAGCACUCACCUGCCGGCGUUGGAAGGUCUCGGCCACAGUGUCCAGCCCCGGGAUAUUGUCCUUGUCCAUGUGGGUGAUGUAGCAGGCACCGUGGAGCUGGGAUCUGUAGCUCACCAGCAGCUAUUUGCAGAUAGACCCACAUCAACGUGGUCCCAUCUCACCUUCCCCAUCCUCCCCAUUGCUCCCCACUUACAUUCUUGUAGUCAUAGAUGACCGUGGCCGGGUUUCCAUCCCCACCAUCCACAUAGAAAGUGGCGGCAUCCUCCUCCCAGGCUGGUUCUCUCCACAACCCCAUCCUUAGGACCUGUGGGGCACGGUGGGGAGCUCACACCCUGCUGCAGCCCCUCAUGGGGGUUCCGGGGGUCCCUUACUUACAGCAUCAGCGUGGCGCUGGUCCGCGUGCAGCCACAUCAGCAAGGCUCCGGCGAUGAUGACCACGACCAGCACCACCACCAGCACCACCAGGAGGAGACACUUGAGGCGGUGGCAGCUCAGGAGCUUGCGGGGCAGGUAGCAGAGCAGGCGAGGGACGAAGCACAGCGACCGCUUGAUGCAGCCGGUGCAGCCGGGGCAGCCGGGGCAGCGGGGGCAGCGGCAGCACCGGGGCAGGCAGCACUGCGCGCACUUGGAGCAGCACACGGCGCAGGGCCAGCAGCAGCAGCCCGGCUUGCAGCACCCGUUGGAGCAGCACCCGGAGCCGCAGCAGCCCUUCUCCGGGUCCUGUGGGCAUGGGAGAGAAAGGGGGAGAAGUGGGAUGAAGGAGAAGGACACAGGAGCUGGGGGUGCAGGCGGGAUGCCCCUGAGUCUUCAGGAAGCAGCAUCCCACGGGCUCUUCCUCCAUCAUGCGUUCACUGGUGCCUUGCUGCAAUAAACUGGGCAGAACCCUGUGCUGAGAAUCUCUGCUGGACUAAA